rnacentral:rRNA from 1 species
CCCUUAGAUGUUCUGGGCCGCACGCGUGCUACACUGAGUCGAUCAGCGGGUCAGGUUGCGCGAAAGUGUUUCCUAAUCUUGAAAUCCGCUCGUGAUGGGGAUUGACGGUUGCAAUUUUCCGUCAUGAACGAGGAAUACCUUGUAAGCGCGGGUCAUCAUCCCGCGCUGAAUACGUCCCUGCCCUUUGUACACACCGCCCGUCGCUCCUACCGAUUGAGUGGUCCGGUGAGGCUUUGGGAUCUGAGCGGAAAGAGCGUUUCGCUGUUUCUGCUCGGAAAACUCAGUCGAACCUUAUCAUUUAGAGGAAGGAGAAGUCGUAACA